rnacentral:rRNA from 1 species
UACGGAGGAUCCGAGCGUUAUCCGGAUUUAUUGGGUUUAAAGGGUGCGCAGGCGGGAGAUUAAGUCGGAGGUGAAAUUUUGCAGCUCAACUGUAAAAGUGCCUUCGAAACUGGUUUCCUUGAGUGUAGAUGAAGUAGGCGGAAUUUGUGGUGUAGCGGUGAAAUGCAUAGAUAUCACGAGGAACUCCGAUUGCGCAGGCAGCUUACUAAACUACUACUGACGCUCAGGCACGAAGGCGUGGGGAUCAAACAGGAUUAGAUACCCCGGUAGU